UACGUAGGGUGCAAGCGUUGUCCGGAAUUAUUGGGCGUAAAGAGCUCGUAGGCGGCUUGUCACGUCGACUGUGAAAACCCGGGGCUCAACUCCGGGCCUGCAGUCGAUACGGGCUGGCUUGAGUGCGGUAGGGGAGACUGGAAUUCCUGGUGUAGCGGUGAAAUGCGCAGAUAUCAGGAGGAACACCGGUGGCGAAGGCGGGUCUCUGGGCCGAUACUGACGCUGAGGAGCGAAAGCCAGGGGAGCAAACGGG
rnacentral:rRNA from 1 species